rnacentral:rRNA from 1 species
UUAAAAAGCUCGUAGUUGGAUUUCUGUUGAGGACGGCCGGUCCGCACUAUGUGCGUGUAUCUGGUUCGGCCUCGGCAUCCUCUCGAAAGCCGUUUCUGCGCUUGAUUGCGUGGUUCGGACUUCGGGACUUUUACUUUGAGGAAAUUAGAGUGUUCACGGCAGGCAAGCGCCUUGAAUAUAUUAGCAUGGAAUAAUAAUAUAGGAUCUUGGUCCUAUUUUGUUGGUUUCUAGGGCUAAGAUAAUGAUUAAUAGGGACAAUUGGGGGCAUUCGUAUUAACGCGUCAGAGGUGGAAUUCUUGGAUUGCGUUACGACGAACUACUGCGAAAGCAUUUGCCAAGGAUGUUUUCAUUGAUCAAGAACGAAAGUAAGGGGAUCGAAGAUGAUUAGAUACCGUCGUAGUCCUUACCAUAAACUAUGCCAACUAGAGAUGGGGCUGCGGUUUAUUUAUGACCCGCUCCGCACCUUAUGAGAAAUCAAAGUUUUUGGGUUCCGGGGGGAGUAUGGUCGCAAGGCUGAAACUUAAAGGAAUUGACGGAAGGGCACCACCAGGAGUGGAGCCUGCGGCUUAAUUUGACUCAACACGGGAAAACUCACCAGGUCCAGACAUAGUAAGGACUGACAGAUUGAUAGCUCUU